CUCAGUAAAGUGAUCCAUUCACGAAUCAGACAUCGCUAGCUCAAACUAGAAACAGCUUGUUUAACGUUGUUUGGCAUUAUCAGUUAUGGAGGUCAACGGUCCUGAUAGUGAUUGGAGGAGUUCAGCCUUUCGACAGAAAGUAGUGGCUCAAAUAGAUGAAGCCAUGAGAAAAGCAGGAACUGCUCACACAAAGUCCAGUACUGACAUGGAAAGCCAUGUUUUUAUGAAGGCAAAGACCAGAGAGGAGUAUUUGUCUUUAGUUGCAAGACUGAUAAUUCAUUUCAGAGACAUUCAUAAAAAGUCACAAGGUGGGCCUGACCCUAUGAAUGCCCUGCAGAAUUUACCAGGAGUAGGUGGAGGUGGUCCUGGAGUUAUUGGCAUAGGACCACGGCCCCCUGGUGCACAAAUGGGUGCUAUGGGGUCAAUGGGGCAAAUGCAAAUGGGUCAACAUGCCAUGCAAGGAGUAGCGGGAGGCCAGCAGGCUGCAGGUGCUCCUGGGCAGAUGCCGAUGAUGCAGCAGCAGCAACAACAGCAGUCCAUUCAGUUUCAGCAGUUCCAGUCGCAGCAACAGGCAGCCAUGCAGGCUCAGCAGCCGGCAACUAUGCAGCAGAAUGCCAUGCAGUUCCAACAACAGAUAAGGCAGCACCAUCAGAAUCAACAAAUGCAGCAUCAAAAUCAGCAACAGCAGCAGGCGCAGACUCAGCAGCAACAACAGAACCAGUUGCAUCAAACAAGACUGCAGCAGCAGCAGUUGGUACAAAUGCAGCAGCUGCAACAACAACACCACCAACAACAACAGCAGCAGCAGCAGCAACUGCACCAACAGCAGGUCCAUGCACAGGCUCAGGCCCAGGCUCAGGCCCAGGCUCAGGCCCAGGCUCAGGCCCAAGCUCAGGCCCAAGCUCAAGCUCAAGCUCAGGCCCAGGCUCAGGCUCAGGCUCAAGCACAGGCUCAAGCUCAAGCUCAAGCCCAAGCACAGGCGCAGGCCCAGGCCCAGGCCCAACUGCAGCAGCAACAGCAGCUUCAAGCCCAGGUCCAAGCUCAAGGUCAAGCCCAGGUACAGGCUCAGGGAGUGGCAGGGCAGAUGCCCCCUCACUCACAGCAGCAGCAAGUCAUGGUGCCCCAGUCAUUAGCACAAAUGGCUCCUGGACAGCAUCAGCCUCAGCUCAGCUCACUCACCCCACAACAGCAGCAGCAUCUGAAGAUUCAGCAGGCAAUGCAGGCGAGAGUAAUGCAGCAGCAGCAGCAGCAACAGCAACAACAACAACAACAACAACAACAGCAGCAGCAACAACAACAGCAGCAGCAGGUUCAACAAGUCCAGCAGGCAAACCAGCUCGGCGCAGUUGCUGGCCAGAUGAUGCCCCGUCCUGGGAUGCAAAUUCCACCCCGGUUGCCCCGCGCCACCCCGAACUCUGCCAUUCCUCAAAACCCUGUUGCCAUUGGAGGACAGCAAAUGCCACAGCAGGGUCAGCAGAUGAUGUCAUCACCCUCCCCAGUUCAGGUGCAGACGCCCCAGUCGAUGCCACCUCCUCCCCAGCCUCAACCGUCCCCCCAGGCUCCUUCCUCUCAGCCCAACUCUGUGAGCUCUGGUCCGACCCCUUCUCCAGGAGGUUUCCAACCCAGUCCCUCUCCUCAGCCUUCCCAGAGUCCUGCAUCUGCACGCACCCCCCAGAAUUACCCCCUCCAGGUACCUUCACCUGGACCUCUCAAUACACCAGGCAAUCCAAGCUCUGUCAUGAGCCCAGCGGGGGCCUCACAAUCUGAGGACCAGCUUUACAUGGACAAACUGAAGCAGCUGUCAAAAUACAUUGAGCCGCUGCGCAGAAUGAUUAACAAAAUAGACAAAAAUGAAGAUAGGAAGAAGGAUUUGAGCAAAAUGAAAAGUUUGCUCAACAUUUUGACUGAUCCCAACACAAGAUGCCCACUUAAAACACUACAGAAGUGUGAAAUAGCUUUGGAGAAACUAAAGAAUGACAUGGCAGUGCCGACUCCUCCCCCUCCUCCAGUGCCCUGUACCAAAAAGCAGUACCUGUGCCAGCCGCUGCUGGACGCUGUCUUGGCCAACAUCCGCUCACCGGUUUUCAACCAUUCACUCUACCGCACGUUUGCUCCUGCUAUGACAGCAAUUCAUGGACCCCCAAUCACGGGCCCUUCAAUUCCUUCCCGUAAACGGAAGCUGGAGGACGACGAGCGCCAGACCAUCCCUAACAUACUUCAAGGGGAGGUGGCUCGGCUCAACUCCAAAUUCUUGGUCAAUCUGGACCCGUCCUUUUGCAGCAACAAUGGAACGGUGCAUCUCAUAUGUAAACUAGAUGAUAAAAAUCUUCCCAGUGUCCCCCCUCUUCAGCUGAGCAUUCCAGCAGACUACCCUGAUCAGAGCCCCCACUGGGAAGAUGACGGUCAGCAGUAUGAGGCCAACCCCUUCUUGCAGACUGUGCAUAAGAACAUGACCUCUAAACUCCUUCAGCUUCCUGACAAGCACUCAGUGACAGCGCUGCUGAACACCUGGGCUCAAAGCGUGAGGCAGGCUUGCCUUUCAGCUGCUUAGAAAUGUUUUCCCAUCAGCACUAGUAUAAUCCUUGCACCUCUAUGGAAUGAUGGCAAUAUAUUAAUACUUUGUUUGUCUUUUUUAUUUACAUGAAUUAUCAUCGGUUUGUUUAGUUCAGUACACUAAAGCCUUAACUGUUUGCGCAUUGCUUCAUUAAUAAAGACAUUUAAACUGAAAUGUGUGGCACAUAAGUUGUCACCACAUGACUGGUCCGUCAGCGCAUAGUGCUCUGUAGACGACGUCUCUGCACAGCUUGAGUCCUCCUGUGUCUGUCUGCUAUGUUAUUGAGGGUCUGUUUGAGGGCAGGGAGGAUCACCUUCUCUGCUUUACUAGCCUGAGACACAGGUCUGUUCAAAAAGUAAUAAAGCAAAGAUUGAUGUGUAUGUCAGACAGGUGGGAAACAAUAUAUACAGUGGAGAACAAAAUUAAAGAAUCUAUAAAUACUUAAUUUUUUUCUUAAAUAUUGUCUUCACUGCUCAAAUCUGAAGGAAUAUUAGCUGUGGCUAUACCACUGUUCAAUAUCCAAGGUGUUUCAACAAAAACCUUUAUUUUGUGGAAAACACAAUCAAAAUUAGAGAACAGUAACCACUGUAGCACGAAGGAAGAUUACAACUUAAAUUUUGGAGAGUUACAACUGUCGAAAAUUAGUUGGAAGUGUAGAGGCCCUUGCUUUGAAUGAUUUCAGGACAUCUGCGGCUGCAGGACAUCACUAGUUUCUCAGACUGCGCUGGUGUGAUUUUGGUCCACUCUUCUUUCACUCUCUUCCAUAGUCUGGUAAAUGUAGUCAUAACUUUGUCACCAAAGUUUUUCAAGAGAUUUUCAGUCAAGCUUAUGUUAGGAUUUUGGGUUUUCAGUGUUCUUGGAUUCAAGGAAUUGCUUUACCCAUUUUGAUGUGUGACGGGGGCAUUUUCUUGCAUGAAAAUUGCAGGCUGAUUGGGAGGUACUUGCAGGUAAGGAACCGCAUGUUGCUGAAGGAGCUUCUGAUAAAACAUUUGCAUUCACACUGCUUUAUAGCUGUAUAAAAGUCCCAACUCCUGCUGCAGAAAACAUCCCUCAAUCCAUGACACUUCCUCCUUCACCUUUGACUUCUUUACGCACUUGGGCUUCAGUUUUUACUCAGUUUGACCCCGAACCAAAUGUUUCCCAUCAGAUCCAAGUAAAUUAAACUUGCUCUCAUCACUAAAAUGAACUUUGGACCAGUUCUCCUCUCUACACACAACAUGCUUCUCAGAAAAAGGUGAGCUUAGCUUUUUGAUUCUUUAUGAUUGAUGAGAGUUUUGGUCACUGCAGAGUGUACUUUCAGUCUGACUUUUCUUAAACAUGCUGAAUUCUUGAAUGAAUUAGUGUCAUUGUAAAUCUGCAGUAUUCGAGAAAUCACAGCUUUGGAAUGACCAACUUCUCUUGCAUCAGCUGAAAGUGUCAUCCCUUUGGCCUUCAUCUAGACAACUUGCUUUUGCAGGGUUUCAGUCACCUUAGAGCAGCCCACCAUCUUGCAAUCUCAGUGAAAAUUGGAGGACUGCUGCCAGUUAAAUAGGGUUUGUCAUAUAAUUAAGGAAAUGAGUACUAGGUGCCAGAUUAACACCAAUAACCUGGAGGUAUCUGAAAUUGUUCUCUAAUUUUGAUCAGAAAUCUUAAGAUAUCUCAUUUAAUUUUUAUACUGUGCUUCUAAAAUAUGCUUAAUAAACUGCCCUGCUACUCCUGUUAGGAUAAGUUCAAAUAUGACUAAGAAUUGACCUUGAAAUUUCGGAAAUUAUAGGUUGUUCUCUACAUUUGAUCUCCACUGUACAUGUCAUAUACAGAUAUUUACAAGAAAUGACUUACAGUCCUUUAGGCAGUGUUUGGAGAGAAAGCUGAGGAAAUGUGUCUGAAUUGUCAGCUCUGCCAAAAAAUGAAGGUAAAGGGUUAGAGGUCAUCUGGAUGUAUCUCGGAAAACAAGAAAAUGUCAUAUUUGCUCAAACUUUUAUGUGACAUCAUUCUCAUAAUCUUUUUACUAUAAUGUAAGAGAUACACUUCAAAGUAUGUGUAUCGUGUUUUUGAGUGAGUGUGUGUGAGUUUGUGAUUUUAAGUAAAUAAUUGUACAAAAUUAUAUUUAUGUUUACAGUAAUACUUAAAACCUUUAAUGGAAAGUAAUUUCUUACGUUCCUUUGAUUUUGGAUUGAGAUGCGAAAAUGAAAUUACCUUUUACCAUCGGCAAGAAAAGCCUUGGUCAAAAUGUAAUUCUCUGCAGUUAUUUUCUUGUUGAAUACAAUGUCUUUGAGAACCGCUUUCACACGCAGGAUCUGAGAGGAGAAAUUAAAAAUUGUAAUUUUAUAAUAUGUUGAGAGACAUUAAGAAAUAUAUGAUCUCACCUCCUGGGACUGCAGGCUGUUGGCAUUGUACAGCUGGCGUAUGAUGACCUCGCAUUCCUGUAUGGUUGGAGCUCGAGGGACCUGAGAUAUACUACACUGGAUCAUCAGAGGCUGUAGAGAAGUGAUGAACCCUGCUUUGGGUUCUGAAGGACCUUCUAUUCUGUCAGCCGUGAGGGAAUUUGACCUGGUUUCUCUACAUUGUACACAACUGCUGUAGGUUUCCUCCAAAGUAUGUUCCAGAUAGUUCCUUCUCUCUGUCUGGAACUUGUUUCUUCCUGUAUGGUGCUUACUGAUUCUACGUCUGGAUGCUGUCAUGGAAUUUUGGUGCAAGUUAAGUAUUUACAAAUAUAGCUGUCCAAUGGUUUUGUUGAGAUGUAGAUGUAAGAAUGAUUACAAGUGUCACUCAACCUUUACUGCUGGACUUCGGAAGCUCCAUUAUCAGCUUAUACUGCAACUCUGUAACCACAUAAUUACAUAACAAAUACACAGUGGAGAAUGAUGUUUAAUUAUGAUAUAUCAAAUUUAUGUUUCUUUGUUGAUAGACCAGAGUUAGAUGACAUACUUUUCACUUCGUUGAAUAUUUCUCAGAAUAGCUUUUUCAUGAUAUGUCACCGAUCUGCCAUAUUAGUGGCACUAAACAUAAACAAUGCCACUGAACCGAACAAUACUGGCAAAUUUUGCUGAUCUCUGCUGUUGAAAAUGGUCAAUUAUUGUCAUGUUUUGGCCUGUACUAAUCGCUCAGAUUGGGAAAAACAUUUGGAGUAUAGACUCCCAAAAGUUACAACAAAUAAAGAAGUGUGCAAAAAACUGAGCAACAAGGUGUUUGUGGUUGGCCGACUUAAACCAGGAUUUUAUCAUUUUUAUCAUUUGUUCUAUUAAUUUCCAGUCAGAUAUUAGGCUAAUAUCUUAAUUAAUACUGCAAGUACAUAUCUUUACACCUAUUAAAUUUAGUUUUUCAAAUAUUGCGCCAUUUCCUGCUUACUAAGUCUUUCUCUAUAUGAUUUAACAGCUUCCACACAUUUUUUCCAUGGUUUAGACAGCAUAAAUUAGCUGAACAACGUAUUCAGUAGUACAUUAAACCUUAAAUCCAUGCUGUUGUUUACAACCGAGUAUCUCCAAUAUGGCCGCGCGUCCGUGUAACUGACCAAACCGUGACGUAAGUGCAAGCCCUCUAUAGGUGUAAGUCAAUAGCUUCGAAACUCUUUCCACUUACUUAUUUUGCUGAAACAUUAAUUCAUGCGUUUAUGACCUCAAGAUUAGAUUAUUGUAAUGCUUUAUUGGGUGGUUGUUCUGCUCGCUUAAUAAACAAACUCCAGCUGGUCCAAAAUGCAGCAGCUAGAGUUCUUACUAGAACCAAAAAGUAUGAUCAUAUUAGCCCGGUUCUGUCAACACUGCACUGGCUCCCUAUUAAACAUCGUAUAGAUUUUAAAAUCUUGCUAAUUACUUAUAAAGCCCUGAAUGGUUUAGCUCCUCAGUACCUGAGCGAGCUCUUAUCGCAUUAUAGUCCCUCACGUCCGGUGCGUUCUCAAACUCUGGCAAUUUGAUAAUACCUAGAAUAUCCAAAUCAACCGCGGGCGGCAGAUCAUUUUCUUAUUUAGCACCCAAACUUUGGAACAACCUACCCAACACUGUUCGGGACGCAGACACACUCUGUCAGUUUAAAUCUAGAUUAAAGACCCAUCUCUUUAACCUUGCUUACACAUAACACAUAAACACAUUUCUAUUAUUCAAAUCCGUUAAAGGAUUGUUAGGCUGCACUAAUUAGGUCAGCCAGAACCGGGAACACUUCCCAUAACACCCGAUGUACUCAGUGCAUCGUCAGAAGAAUGGCAUCUACGCUAAUAUUAGUCUGUUUCUUUCUUAUUCCAAGGUCACCUUAACCACCAGAUCCAGUCCGUAUCCAGAUCAGAUGGUCAUUGCAGUCCUCUGGAUCCAGUCCGUACCCAGCCCAGACGGUGGAUCAGCACUUAGAGACGACCUCUACAGCACUGAAUGUCAGCGGAGACCACAUCGACUAGAUGAGCCCCAGAGACGGAUCCCCAGUGAAGACCUCGUCACCUAGACGGCUGUCGGCACAGGACCACGGGACCUGGCGAGUCCUCUGUGUCUGGCCACUGAGCCUGGUUUCUCCCAAGGUUUUUUCUCCAUUUGUCACCGAUGGAGUUUUGGUUCCUUGCCGCUGUCGCCUCUGGCUUGCUUAGUUGGGGACACUUUAUCUUCACUUUAUCUUCACACAAUAUUGUGUUUUAUUUUGUUGUAUUUGAUUAACUACCUUUAUCUGAAAAUUGAGUGUUUACCGUUGCCUAUUGCAUUGUUGAUGUACUAUUUCCUAUUUAAUACUGUACAGCCGCCUUGUCACAAUUCUGUAUUGUUAAAGGCGGUAUAUAAAUAAAGGUGAUUUGAUUUGAUUUUGAUUUA